GCUCUCUGACACACUCAAACACGCACACAUGCCCUCCUCCCCCAUGCUGCAGUGUCUCAACUGCCUUGGAGCAAACCAGAGAGGAAAUAGAACAGACAAUAAUAAGAGAGACGAGAAAGAGGGGGAUAUAAAGAGAGAGAGUAUGAGUGGAAGAAAGAGUGUGUUAUAGGAGAAUGUUGGACUAAGAGUGGAUUGCACACUGCUUAUCUCUCCCAUGCGAGUGUUUGUCUGCAGUAUCCCUGGUGAACGGACCCUGGACAUUGAAACGGUAAGCCUGCCUGCUUUAUUUUCUCACACUCUUUCUUUUUGUCAUCACCACUAAGUUGGCCCUCUUUGUUUGGCUGGGGUGAGGAGUUUCUGUGUAAUUGGAUUCAAGUGGAGGAACAGGAUCUUUUUUUCUCCUCAUGAAGGUGAUGUUCUGAGAUGGCACCAAGUCAAGGCUGUUUCUCCAGUUCCCUCCUCUCUGUGUAGGUGGACUAGGAGAGACAGUGUCUGUGUACAUAUCCUCCUUGAUACAGCCUUCAUAGAUACAGUAUAUGGUUAUGUUGGGUAAUGGUAAAUAGGGAUGUGUGCGUGCUCUGUCCAUCUCAUCGUUCAUGAGCGAAUGAGAAUGAGAGAGGUAAGAGAGGUAAGAGAAGAAGAGAGGUAAGAGAAGAAGAGGUAAGAGAAGAAGAGGUAAGAGAGGGAGAGAGGUAAGAGAGGUAAGAGAGGGAGAGAGGUAAGAGAGGGAGAGAGGUAAGAGAGGUAAGAGAGGUAAGAGAGGGAGAGAGGUAAGAGAGGUAAGAGAGGUGAGAGAGGUAAGAGAGGGAGAGAGGUAAGAGAGCCAAUAAAAGUACUGUCACGUAGGAUCUGCUGAUGACUGGCUUAGCGAGACAAUGAAUGUGACUGUGCGGUGGGAGGUGCACACACCCCAUGGAGUGUUGCUCUGCAGGCAGGCACUGGGCUGGACAGAUGAGCAGUGGCUUCACACCGGCAUUUUAGCAUCUGCCCUUGCAGCGCUCUGCCUGCCAUCCCACAUCAACAAUAACAUCAGCACAUCGAUCGAGAACCGUGUUGACCCAGGAUGGGUGUGUGCGAGUGUGAUUCUGAGAAAGUGACAGAGUGUGUGUGUUUCCUGCUCUCCAGUGGCCACAGCAGUGAGGGUCAUUUGUGACAUUUUGUGUCUCUACAAUCCCUCAUAUCGCUAAUGGAGCAUUGCCAUGACUCGUGGAGUGGGGGUUAUUCGGCAACGCAGGGGUGUGUGUGUAUGUGUGUGUGUGUGUGAGAGAGAACCUGC
ensembl:lncRNA